AUAUAGUUUUAAAAAGCUUUCGAGCUCCGGCGAAAACGCCCCUACGGCACCCAUCUUAACACGGCCCCGGUAACCGCCAAACCGAAUUCGUACCGGCCGUGGCGGACGCGCGAUAGCUCAACAACGCCUGCGAACGGAAUAUUUUUUUUCAAACACCGAACUGUGAUCGCGGCCACCCAACCCGAAUCGCAUAAACUCCGUCGUCGC